GGCUUUUGUCUGCUGCUCAUCAUCUGUCACCUGAGCCCCAGAACGACCUCCCCCUGAGACUCAAACUACCCAGCCCAGCUGAGCCCACCCUCUUCCUCCACGAGCUCUGCCCUCCUCCUCUCCCUUCUUCCCGUGCUCUGGGGCCGUAGCCAGAGGGUGGGUCAGUGCAGCCACGUGCUGUCCUGAAUUUUAAGCUCCCAGCCAGAAAGUUACGUUCCACAUAAUUAUGUAAAAUCUCCAGUUACCCAGAUAACUUUAUUCAGUUCCCUCCCAGUCUUAUUUGAUAAAGAGGGGUGCUUAUUUUCUUUCUGUCUUUUCCAAAGGUUUUAUUAAUGGCAAGCAGGACAUUCAAGUUUUUCACUGAAGAACUCAGAAAGUAUCAGCAGAGUAUAAUGAAAAGGACCUUGGACGUU
rnacentral:lncRNA from 1 species